AUAGGAAUAAAUCUCUAUAAGUAAAAAUUCUUCUAACACUUGAAAGAAUAUAAUUUUUCCAUAAAAUAUUUGUCCACCCAAGUAUUGAGAGAGUUUAUAAGUGAACUUGGGAUCACUGGAAGACCGCAGAAUUGUGGUAUAGUUCGUGGACUAGCUUGUGGAUUUUCUUGAAGGUUCUUGCUUGUCGACUAUCUUGUGGAUUAACUUGAAGGUAUUUUCUCACGCUUCAAGAGUUUUCCAACACUAGUAUGAAGAGGGUGGCAUCCGUAGUAGCAGUAGAUAUUCAUAUGUUGGGAAGAUUGACAAGAUCAUUGUUGGUCCAUUUUAAAAAAAGAGCAUUUGUUGAUGGUGAAGUUCCAGAGGAAGUAGUGAGCAUGGAGAAGAAUAUUGUUGAAAUGUGUCAAGGUCCACCAUUGGCUGAAAGUUUAUUGGGAGGCCUCUUACGCAACAAGGAAAAACAUGAAUGGUAGGAAAUUCGUGACGAAAACUCCCUUGUUGCAGGUCAAUAUAAUAACUGGUAAAAUAGCUUAAAGAAAAUUGUAAAACUCAGCUAUGAUUAUCUACCAUCUCCACAUCUGAAAAAGUGUUUCACUUAAUAUGCCAUUUUCCCAAGAGAUUUUGUGUUUAAAAAGGACCAACUAAUCCAAUUCUGGAUGGCAGAAGGUUUUCUCUCCCAUGUCAAGAGACCACUGUGAUAGAAGACGUUUGGAAAAUUCCUUGCUGCAACUAUAUAUAACAUAUAUUUGGAAGAUCACUGUGAUGAAAACCCGUCGAAUUCUGGAUGGCAGAAGAGUUUUUCAACUUUUAUUGCAAAAUUCCUUGCUGCAAAAUAAUAGCUAGAUGAGCACAAGAAUGUAACACACUAUAAGAUACACGAUCUUGUGCAUGAUUUGGCUAGAGGUAUCUUAUAAUCUAAAGUAUUUGAUCCUAAAAGUAUUGGAAGAGAAAAACUUUCUCAAGUUUGAUACUUUGGAUGUGACUCACCAAGAGGGAUCGAAUAGAAAAGUUAAAUGAGCCAGAACAUUUGUGCACACUGUUCUGGAGAAGCAAUUAUGUAUCUGAAGAUAUGCAAUUGAGCUUUAAGUUCUUGAGAGUUAUAAAUUUAUUCAGUUCAGGAAUUGAGGUGUUGUCAGCAAAAAUUAGCAAGCUAAUAUACUUGAGAUAUCGUUGAUCUUUCCGACCCCAUGAUCGAAGUCUUGCACAAAUCAUUUUCCAAGAUCUACAAUGCAAGCAUUUACAAUCAAUAGUUGUUUCACUCAGGAGGCUUCCAGAAGAAAUGAAAAAUAUGAUAAUUUUGCAAAACAUAUAUUGCAAUUAUCAUUAAAAAUCAAAGUUUUGUUUAGCAUUUUGGGGAUCAAGAUCUAUUGAUCAGUUUGAGAUACCACUAAAUAAGGGGCAUAUGACAAUACUUCAGACACUAUCGGUUUUCUACGUAGGUUUAGAGAAAGGUAGUCAAAUACAAGAAUUAGGUCAUUUGAAAAACAUAGAGGUGAAUUAAUGAUCAAGCAUCUCCAAUUAUUUGUAAAUGAAGAAGAGGAUCGAAAGCAUAUUUACAUGAGAAACCAAAUAUCUACGAGCUGGUGUAUAAUCAGAAUGUUGUGAGAUCAAUGAUGAGCAUUUGUUGGAUGUUCUUCAACCACAUCCUAACUUGAAAACAUAGAAAUGGAGAACUAUUUGGGGACUAGUUUUACUUCAUGGUUUGGUGAUCACUUGCUACCAAAUUUGGUCGAGGGUAAAUUAAAUGGUUGCAAGAGGUGCAAAGAAAUUUCAUCGCUUGGACAACUGAAGUUCCUUUGACAUCUUUAGCUGAUAUGAUUCCCUGAAUUGAAAUGCAUCAAAACUGGAUUUUACUAUGUUGAGAUUAAUGAUAAUGGAUCAGAAACAAUGAUGGCAAUAUCCAAGUAUUCCUAUCAUUGAAAGAACUAGUGUUGGAUGAUAUGCAUAGCCUUAUUGAGUGGAAGAGAGUUGUUUGAUUAACUCCAAAGUCUUGAGUUAUGUUAUUAUGAUGUUUUGUCCAAAUAUAGUAUUUAGUGUGGGGGAUGUGUGCUAGGUUUCAAGCAACUCUUGAAGGCAAUAAAGGGAAUCCUAAGAUACUUGAACGGAACUUAGGACCUAGUCCUAUUUUAUCCUUCUAGGAAUUCUUUGGAUUUAAUUGGAUAUGUUGAUGUUGAUUAUGUGGUUUUUCUUGUUGGCAAGAAAAGCACCUCAGGCAUGGAACAUUUUGCGGGGACAUCACUGAGCUUAUGGGGAAUGAAAAAGCAAAAUUUAGUAGCCUUGUUCGCUACAGAAGUUGAGCAUGUGAUUGGUGCUUCAUGUUGUGCUCAACUCUUGUGGAUUGAGCAACAAUUUGAAGACUUUGGUGUCUUUACAGAUACUAUUCCUCUUAUGUGUGAUAAAACAAGUGCAAUGAACAUGUCAAAGAAUCUUGUUCAUCACUAGAGGACCAAGCACGCUGAUGUGAGACAUCAUUUCCUUAGAGACAAUUUUGACAAAGAAAAUGUGGUAAUGACAUUCUGUAAAAUGAAGGACCAAGUGGCUGACAUCUUCACCAAGGCACUAAGCAAGGAACACUCUAUCAAGAACAUACUAAGCCUAGGAUGCACAAGCUAAACUAACUUCACAACAAAUUUUCAAGCAAUCUCCACUUUGACUAUGCUAAGGAGGGCAGAAGGUUGCAAGAAUCUAUUUCCCAAACACUUUCUACAAUUAGUGAGAACAAGGAGAAGAAGAAGAAGUAAAAGGAUGAGAAAGAAAAGAAGGAAAAGGACGGGAAGAAGAAGCAGAAGCAGAAGAAGAAGGAUAAGAAGAAGGAGAAGGAGCACGAGAAGGAAAAGGAUAAGAAUAAUUAUUUACAAUGAUUACACAAUUGCAGAAGAGAAAAGGACGAUCACUACUUAUCCAAUUACUCAAAACUUAAUUUUGCCCAACUUGAUUUUGUAGGUGUAUUUCCAAAGAAUAAGGACUCGUUCUACGUAAUGUCUCAACCCAAUAAGUGUUGGACUGAUGAGAAAGGGGUCAUGUGGCAACAUAUAAUACAGAAAAGAGAUAUGUGGCGUUGUUGUCCUCAUCAUUUCUAGUUUAUUGUUGAUACACCUUCUCAGAUACAAAUAUAACGGCUCCUGUCAAAAGAAAAGUUGAUACAUCUGACACAACAAAGAUCAAGAAGAAGGCUAGGUCUAAAACUGAUAGGAAGAGGAAUGAAAAUACCACUCUUUAGAAGAUCUUGCAUCUGAAGCAGUUUCUUCUUCUCAAGUAGAAGUAGAAUUUUCUCAAAAAAAAUAUGAAGAAAGAGAAGUAGUGGAGGAAGAAGAGGAAAAACAAAAAGAAGUUGAGGAAGAACAACGGAAAGCUAUAUAAGUAUUUAAUAGAGAAGUAGUUGGGGAUUCUCAAGUAGCUGAGCCACAAGAAGAAAAAAUAAAUGAAGUCGAGAAAGAAAAAGAGGAAAUUAUAGAAGUAGUUCAUAAAGAAAUAGUUGAGGCACAAGAACAAAAAAUAAAUGAAGUUGAAGAAGAACAAGAACUUCAUGAAGGUUUCAAUGCUACUGGUGAUGAUGGAAAUAAAAUCAUCAAUGUAGACACUUUCGUUGUGCAUCUGCAGCCUAAUGUUAAUGGUGAUAGCAUUAUUAGGUCAGUCCUGGUAAAACCUUUCAUCAAAUUCAGGGAUAUCCUCAAGAGAAAUCAUUUGAAAGAUUUUUUGAGAAAUAGUUGUUUCGGUCUUUUUCUUGAUUUACCCAUCGAUACAACUCCAUGUUUUCAAAUGACCAUUGUGUAUGAACUUCUAAAAAGAAGGUUCAUUUUUGAAAAUCCCAAAAAGAAGGAUGAGAUUGUGAUUAAUUAUUGUGGAAUGCCAGUUUUAUUUGGCAAAAGAGAGUUUUCCAUAUUUACAGGGUUAAAAGGUCAUCCUCCUCUUGAGCCCGUCCCUGAAUGCAUUGUUAAAAAAGAACCACGGAAAAGAAAGAAAGAAGUAGUAGAAGCAGGACAACAGUCACUGCAAACUGAGGAGCAAAACCUGAUGUCCCUUGUUGGCAAAAGAUUAAAAAAUUCUGACUUAGUAAAUUUUUUGGAACACGAGGAUACACCAAGGAAGCACAAUGAGACAUUGUUCUUACUUUGGUUUACACAUAAUAUACUUUUGCUGAAAGAUCUCUACAACAACAUACAGUUAAAAUGGGUGACUUUCUAUCAGGAUAUUGAGGCUUUCAGCAACUACCUUGGGGUCAUGAUAGUUUUGAAUUAAACUCUCAAAUAUUUGUUGGAACCUUUAGGAGAAAAGACCGGUAACUUGUUUGGCUUUUCAUGGUCUUUCAUGGCUUGGAAAUUUGAAGUUAUUCCUUAUUUGACCUAUCAAGUAAUUGCAGAAGAACAAAGAUUAUCUCCAAGGAUAAUGAGAUGGUUGAGAUCAAGAACAAAAAAUAUCAAAGAUGGGCAUAUUCCAGAUCUUUUUAACCAUCCUCUUGAUGCAGUUGUGCAUCCAUGAAUUAUUCCAACAGAAGAGGAAUUGUAAAUGCGGUAUCUAAUUUCUCUAGGGUUGCUUGAAACCAUUUUUCAUCAUGUUGUGGAUAGAGCUAAAAUGGAGUUGGUUGGACCAACAACCAUCAAAAGAGACAAAGUUGUUAAUGUAGUUGUUAAUGAAUUAGUUUUUUUUAUGGUGUUGGUGUUGGUGUUGGUGCUGAUGUUGGUAUUGCUGCUGGCGUUUGUGUUGGUGUUGGUGCUGGUGCUGGUGCUGGUGUUGGUGUUGGUGCUGGACAAGACCUAGGGGCUACCUCUUGUAGAAGAUGUUGUGGAUUUCUCUGUGAGAAGUGCAAGAAACAUAAUGAAGAUUUUAUCAUGUAUCUUCAAAUAUUGAGUGAAGUUGUCAAUGAAUUUUAAAAAAAAGAGGGGGUCAAGGGAAUUCUAUCAAAGAAUGUUCGGCAUCCAUAUACUCCACAAGCCAAGAGGAGGAAAGAAUCAUUUGCCAAGGCAAUACAAAAUUUGAAGAAGAAAAAGAUGUUUGGAGAAUUUCCAAGGGUCGUAAAAGAUGAAGUGAAGGAGUACAAAAGUUGAAUAUUUAUAUGCAUGUGACUGUAGCGGAAAGAACUAAAGUGUUGAGUCUGACGAGUGCAAAGGAUAUUCGAAUAAAAUACGGCAUGCAUGUUUUUACAAGAGAAGAUUUCAGGAAUAUGAAAAGCAUAAAAGUUUGGUGAGAAGACUGGUAUAUUGAUGAAAUCCUUAACCUCAUGCAUCAGAGGCAUGAGACAUAUUCAGAUUACUAUGAUCCCAGAGAUAGAAUCCUGGAUCUCAACUUCUAUACCAACUUCCAAAAAAAAAAAUAUUGAACUGCGUGAUGAGACAACAACUAUUGGUGGCAGAAGUAUUAAACAGUUAGUAGAUGAGUUUGUAUGAGAUGAAGAUAUGAUUGACUAUGUCAGGGUCAUUAGGCCAUAUCCUGGAGGCAUGGAUUGGAUUGAUGCAAAAAGAAUUUUGCCAGUCAUGAACAUGGAUGGUACCCAUUUUGUGACUCUCGAGAUUCUCCUGCAUGAGGGUCGCAUGAAUGUUUAUGACUGCCAAUUGAUGCUUACGGAACAUGCCAAGUUUUUGACAUACAUACAACUUGUCUUCGAGUUGCUGCCUAAAUUGUUGAAGCAGAGUGGAAUAAUGGAACAUUUUCUAGAAAAGUUUCUCAAUGAACCAUGGGAAUUUACAGGUCGAAUGGAUCCCAUGGUUAAAAAUGAAUCUGGAGCGGCGUGUGGGUCAUAUUCUCUUGCAUUCAUUGAGCAUUUGGUUAGGAGGACAGAGAUUAAACAUCCCAAAACCCUGUUGUGUGACAAACUAUUUGAACAAAUGCAAUAUGUAUGGGCUCAUGGGAUAAUAUCUCGAAGCUUAAAGCCUUAAAUAUAAUGUGUUUGCAAUUAAAGAAAACAUUUUAUUUUUUCAA